GGCAAGGCCACUGGUGUGGCUCAGGAAGACGAGGGGAUCAGGUUCCCUGUCAAAGGUCCACCUCUGUCUUACACGAGAAGCUGAUGGGGUCAAUCCAGCCGUCUGUUUAAUCCCAGCAACAAAGAUGGGUAACCAACCAUCCUCAGCCUGCACUCCCCUUGAGUGUAUUCUGAAUCACUGGGACUCCGUUGACCCUCAGACUGUAGAGAAAGAGGAAAAAACCUUUUCCCUCCUCUGUCCUCUCUUCCAGCCAGGCAUGACCAUGUAACAGUUUGGGCUGCUGAGCCAGAAGGGAAAGAGUACUACUGCUAGACUUCCAGGAAGGCUGCUCUAAGAAAGAUGACUCAGAGGUUGCACUUUUUUAGUUUUGGGGGUUUUUUUCCCUCUACUUCCUGCUUCUUGGAACUAGGACAUGAUGUCUGGAACUCUAGCAGCCAUUUUGGACCAUGAGGUGAUUGUGCGACUAGAAGACACAUCGUAGAAUGGAGCACCAAGACGAAAGCCCCCAAAGCUGCCCUAUAAGACCUGGACUUCAAACCAGCAAACUUCUUCCAUGUGAGAGAGAAAUAAGCUUAGGUUUUGUUUCUGCCAGUGUUAUCUUUGUUUUCGGUUAUGAGCCACUAAAUGUGAUCCCACUUGUUACCCCAGUCAUUCUCCCAACUUCCUAGACCCAUUAAUAGCAUUCUACACUCACAGUCCAUCAGUGGUGCAAGACUACAACACGAUUUUAAAUCCAAAAGUGAUAUAAAUGAUUUUGUGAUUCUGUGCUGCUGAGAUAUGUGCUUUUUUCAACUUGCAAAAUAUACUAUUGAAAUCUAUAGUUAAAAAAAAAAGA
rnacentral:lncRNA from 1 species